rnacentral:rRNA from 1 species
UUUACUGAGAGUUUGAUUCUGGCUCAGGACGAACGCUGGCGGCGUGCCUAACACAUGCAAGUCGAGCGCCCCGAUUUAUCGGGGAGCGGCGGACGGGUGAGUAACACGUAAGCAACCUACCUCUAAGACGGGGACAACCUUGAGAAAUCUGGGCUAAUACCCGAUGUGACUGCAGUUUAGCAUUUUACUGCAAUUAAACGAAACGUAAGAAUCGCUUAGAGAGGGGCUUGCGACCUAUCAGCUUGUUGGCGGGGUAAAAGCCCACCAAGGCUACGACGGGUAGCUGGUCUGAGAGGAUGACCAGUCACACUGGAACUGAGACACGGUCCAGACUCCUACGGGAGGCAGCAGUGAGGAAUUUUCCGCAAUGGGCGAAAGCCUGACGGAGCGACGCCGUGUGUGUGAUGAAGUCCUUCGGGACGUAAAACACUGUCAGAGGGGACGAUAAUGACGGUACCCUCAGAGGAAGGCCCGGCUAACUACGUGCCAGCAGCCGCGGUAAUACGUAGGGGCCAAGCGUUGUCCGGAAUUACUGGGCGUAAAGAGUAUGUAGGCGGCUUUGUAAGUCCGAUGUUAAAUCUCCCGGCUCAACCGGGAACCUGCAUUGGAUACUGCUUAGCUAGAGAGUAGCAGAGGAAAGUGGAACUUCCGGUGUAGCGGUGAAAUGCGUAGAUAUCGGAAGGAACACCAGUGGCGAAGGCGACUUUCUGGGCUAUUUCUGACGCUGAGAUACGAAAGCCAGGGGAGCAAACGGGAUUAGAUACCCCGGUAGUCCUGGCCCUAAACAAUGGUCAUUAGGUGUAGGAGGUAUCGACCCCUUCUGUGCCAAAGCUAACGCGUUAAAUGACCCGCCUGGGGAGUACGGCCGCAAGGCUAAAACUCAAAGAAAUUGACGGGGGCCCGCACAAGCGGUGGAGCAUGUGGUUCAAUUCGAUGCUACGCGAAGAACCUUACCUGGGCUUGACAUCCUUCGAAUCCCGAUGAAAGUUGGGAGUGCCGGUUUCCGGAACGAAGAGACAGGUGCUGCAUGGCUGUCGUCAGUUCGUGUCGUGAGAUGUUGGGUUAAGUCCCGCAACGAACGCAACCCCUAUUGUUAGUUGCUAGUCUCCGCCUUUGGCGGAGGAAGCACUCUAGCGAGACUGCCUCGGAUAACGAGGAGGAAGGCGGGGACGACGUCAAGUCAUCAUGGCCCUUACGUCCAGGGCAACACACGUGCUACAAUGGCGCGCACAAAGAGAAGCAAGACGGCAACGUGGAGCAAAUCUCAAAAAACGCGCCUCAAUUCGGAUUGAGGGCUGCAAUUCGCCCUCAUGAAGCUGGAAUCGCUAGUAAAUGCAGAUAAGAGCGCUGCAUUGAAUACGUUCUCGGGCCUUGUACACACCGCCCGUCACACCAUGGAAGCUAGAAACACCCAGAGCCCCGUUUUUACGAGGUGAAGGUGGUGCUAGUGACUGGGGUGAAGUCAAAUAUGGCUUCCUAUGGGAGUAAUCCCAUAGUAAAAUCUAACUAUAU